rnacentral:rRNA from 1 species
GAGUUUGAUCUUGGCUCAGAUUGAACGCUGGCGGCAGGCCUAACACAUGCAAGUCGAGCGGAUGACGGGAGCUUGCUCCUUGAUUCAGCGGCGGACGGGUGAGUAAUGCCUAGGAAUCUGCCUGGUAGUGGGGGACAACGUUUCGAAAGGAACGCUAAUACCGCAUACGUCCUACGGGAGAAAGCAGGGGACCUUCGGGCCUUGCGCUAUCAGAUGAGCCUAGGUCGGAUUAGCUAGUUGGUGGGGUAAUGGCUCACCAAGGCGACGAUCCGUAACUGGUCUGAGAGGAUGAUCAGUCACACUGGAACUGAGACACGGUCCAGACUCCUACGGGAGGCAGCAGUGGGGAAUAUUGGACAAUGGGCGAAAGCCUGAUCCAGCCAUGCCGCGUGUGUGAAGAAGGUCUUCGGAUUGUAAAGCACUUUAAGUUGAGAGGAAGGGCAGUAAGUUAAUACCUUGCUGUUUUGACGUUACCGACAGAAUAAGCACCGGCUAACUCUGUGCCAGCCGCCG